rnacentral:rRNA from 1 species
GCCCUUCCGGCGGGGAUAGCCGGGCCAACGCCCGGGUAAUACCGCAUACGUUUCCCUGGGGGCAUCCUUGGGGAAAGAAACUUCCGGGGCGGAGGGAGGGGCUCGCGGCCUAUCAGCUAGUUGGGGGGUAACGGCCUCCCAAGGCGACGACGGGUAGCUGGUCUGAGAGGAUGGCCAGCCACAUUGGGACUGAGAGACGGCCCAG